rnacentral:rRNA from 1 species
UACAGGGGGGGCAAGCGUUGUUCGGAAUUACUGGGCGUAAAGCGCGUGUAGGCGGCUCUUCAAGUCAGGCGUGAAAGCCCCGGGCUCAACUCGGGAACUGCGCUUGAUACUGUCGAGCUAGAGUGUGGAAGGGGCGAUUGGAAUUCCGUGUGUAGCGGUGAAAUGCGUAGAUAUACGGAGGAACACCAGAGGCGAAGGCGGAUCGCUGGGCCAACACUGACGCUGCGACGCGAAAGCUAGGGUAGCAAACGGG